CAAAUGAAUUAUCAUAUAAUUAAGCCAAAAGAAAAACGAAAAAUCUAAAAAAUGUGUGUGUAUACCAGGCCAAUUAUAAGAGUACUACGCUAAAUAAAAAAGACAGUAGUAAAUAGUACUACCAAUUUUGAGACCUCAGUCACCAACAGACUACCAUCUUCUUCUUCUUCAAUUCUUCUUUUAAUCUCUUUUCAAACUUUAACUUGUAUUCAUUUAUCUCAAAAUCUGAUACCUUUUAUUGAAUACAAAAUGUUAGAGGUACAGUCUUUAAUCUAAAACAGAAAGUACGUACUUACAUGGUUUGAUUAUAUUGUACUACUGGUACGUCUAGCUAUAUCACCUCCUCAUGAGAAGCACAGUCAUCCGUUUUCGAAUAGAAAAUUU
rnacentral:lncRNA from 1 species